UUCUACCCAUAUUCUACCAAAAGAAAAAGUAUUUCAUACAAAUACACGUGCUAAAUCAAAUUUGUAGCUGAGAAAAAAAGUAAAAUUAGGAAAAAGAAACUUACUUGCGAAGAAUCUAUUAAGUAAUAGAGAAAAUCAAGUAGUAUAAAAGAGGAAAUAGCUUUUGUCUAAAGAAUUGAGAAAAUCUGUUUAGUAGGAAGGAGAAAAACAAGAGGAAAAUAAAAAUAAAAAUAAAAGGAGGAAGGAG
rnacentral:lncRNA from 1 species